CACUAUAUAUAUAAGUCAUUUUACCCCCAAAUCCUUCAAUCCAACACCAUCCAUUCAUCCACACUAGAACAAUCUAACAUAUUCUCAAUGGCCAAAUAUUGGGCUACUUUCAUUGUAUUGUUUUUAAGUGUGAUGUUGCUCGCCCCCAAGGCGCAUGCUGUAACUUGUGACUCGGUGGCGAGCAGCUUGCAAGCAUGUAGUUCCGCCUUGCAGAAGGGCGGAACAGUGUCAUCGGGCUGCUGCAGUGGAAUUAAGUCUUUAAGCAAGUCAGCCAAUACCCCAGCGGCACGAAAGACUAUUUGCCAGUGUGUGAAAGGUUUCGUUAAAUCUUACAAAAUAAAUUCUCAUACAAUUUCCUCCAUUUCUACAAAGUGUAAGGUCAAAGUUCCCAGUCUCAGCUCCAACAUUAACUGUAACAAGGUCUACUAAUAAUUGAACGGACAUGGUAGAAGCUUGCAUUUGCUUUUCCACUUGUAGCUUAAAUUGCAGGAUCACGUUUUAAAUAAACAUUUUAUGGAUCUAUAUAGUUAUGAUUUAUUUACUAUUUGUAGCGUUGUGAUAAGGCAAUAUUAGUUAUUGCUAGCAUAAGGCGAUAUGUAAUAAACUUUAAUGGUUUUAAUUAGUUUUCUGUCGUUACGUUGUUUGGUGUGAUUAUAAGUAUCAAAGUAUCAAAGUUUCUGUAAUACUAGAUGGUUGCUUUAAUUUAAAAAAACACUUUUUUUUA